rnacentral:rRNA from 1 species
UACGUAGGAGGCGAGCGUUGUCCGGAAUUACUGGGCGUAAAGAGCGCGUAGGCGGCACGGUACGACCGGUGUGAAAGCCCCCGGCUCCAACUGGGGAGGGUCAGCCGGUGAACGGCCCGAGCUAUGAGUGCAGGAGAGGGAAGUGGAACUCCGGGAGUAGCGGUGAAAUGCGUAGAGACCCGGAGGAACACCAGUGGCGAAGGCGGCUUCCUGGUCUGCAACUGACGCUGUGGCGCGAAAGCUAGGGGAGCAAACGGG